UACAGUAACACCCAUAGUCAACUCACUGUUAUAUAAAUGAUUCAUUAAUCAUUUAUAUAACAGUGAGUUGACUAUGGGUGUUACUGUAAAACUUU
rnacentral:sRNA from 1 species